GAUGAACGCUAGCGGCAGGCUUAAUACAUGCAAGUCGAGGGGCAGCAUGACCGUAGCAAUACGGUUGAUGGCGACCGGCAAACGGGUGCGGAACACGUACACAACCUUCCUUCGAGCGGGGAAUAGCCCGGGGAAACCCGGAUUAAUACCCCAUAGUAUAUUGAAGAGGCAUCUCUUUACUAUUAAAGAUUUAUCACUUGAAGAUGGGUGUGCGGCUGAUUAGCUAGUUGGCGGGGUAACGGCCCACCAAGGACAACGAUCAGUAACUGGUGUGAGAGCACGACCAGUCACACGGGCACUGAGACACGGGCCCGACUCCUACGGGAGGCAGCAGUAAGGAAUAUUGGUCAAUGGACGCAAGUCUGAACCAGCCAUGCCGCGUGGAGGAUGAAGGUCCUCU
rnacentral:rRNA from 1 species